rnacentral:rRNA from 1 species
AACGAACGCUGGCGGCAGGCUUAACACAUGCAAGUCGAGCGCCCCGCAAGGGGAGCGGCAGACGGGUGAGUAACGCGUGGGAAUCUACCCAUCUCUACGGAAUAACUCAUGGAAACGUGUGCUAAUACCGUAUACGUCAUUCGGGGGUAAGAUUUCUCGGAGAUGGAUGAGCCCGCGUUGGAUUAGCGAGUUGGUGGGGUAAAGGCCUACCAAGGCGACGAUCCAUAGCUGGUCUGAGAGGAUGAUCAGCCACACUGGGACUGAGACACGGCCCAGACUCCUACGGGAGGCAGCAGUGGGGAAUAUUGGACAAUGGGCGCAAGCCUGAUCCAGCCAUGCCGCGUGAGUGAUGAAGGCCCUAGGGUUGUAAAGCUCUUUCACCGGUGAAGAUAAUGACGGUAACCGGAGAAGAAGCCCCGGCUAACUUCGUGCCAGCCGCCGCAGUAAUAC